GCCGGGUGUGGUGGUGCGCGCCUGUAGUCCCAGCUACUUGGGAGGCUGAGGCAGGGGAAUUACUUGAAGCCAGGAGGCGGAGGUUGCAGUGAGCCCAGAUUGUGCCACUGCACUCCAACCUGGCAACAGAGUGAGACUCUGUCUCAA
rnacentral:SRP_RNA from 1 species